CUUGCCACAACUGGAUAAGGAUCAAAAAAUCUGCUGCUAGAAUAUUCAAUGAAACGAUUUUGAAAAAUUAAAGAAGAGUUUAGAGAAAAAUGACUGCAUGGUGAAGGACAAGUGCAUAGUCAUGCUGUUGAAGAUUGUUCUUGACCUUUGAAGAUACUUGAAGUUCAUUGAAAAGGAACGCUUACUAGUUUCAGCUUGUACUAAGCUAAUAAAGCCACUUCAGUACAAUAAGUCUAAUUCAAUAAAAUGGUCAUUUCCAUUGUUCCUAAAACUGAAAAAGAAUUGACAGCAGUAACAUUCAGC